rnacentral:rRNA from 1 species
GAUGAACGCUGGCGGCGUGCUUAACACAUGCAAGUCUAUCGGAAAGGCUCUCCUUCUGUGGGUUGCUCGAGUGGCGAACGGGCGACUACCACGUGAGUAACCCGCCCUUGCCUUUAGAAUAACUCCAGGACACUGGUACUAAUACAGGACAGGAGCUCCCCCUCCGUGGUGGGGGUUGGAAAGAGUCGGUGGUUGGGGACGGACUCGCGGCUUAUCAGCUUGUGGGUGGGGCAGUGGCCUACGACGGCGUUGACGAGUAGCCGGCCUGAGAGGGUGACCGGCCACAUUGGGACAGUGAUACUGCCCAGACACCUACGGGGGGGAGCGGUGGGGGAUAUUGCACAAUGGGCGGAAACCUAAUGCCGCACCGCCGCGUGGGGGAUGACGACCUUCGCGUUGUAAACCGCGUUCUCCUGUGACGAAGCGAGAGUGACGGUACCGGGUAAAGAAGCACCGGCUAACUACGUG